CGCCCUGAGCCAGAAGAGAACCCACUGCCUUGAAGGAAUUAUCCAGUCCUGGCAGUAUUCAUCACCUGCUAAAUGAAGAGCCCUUGAGCCCUGAAUAAAGAGCAACAAUACCCAGGUACUACAUCAUGGGCCUCGGUGAGCCUCUGAGAAUUACUAGCUUCAGGUGAGACUCAGCACAUUACCAGCUGUGGUGGCUACAGGGCAAAAUUCCUUCUGCUUGAGAAAAGCAGAGGGAAAAGUAAAAGGAACUUUGUCUUGCACCUUAGGUACCAACACUGCCACAGGGGUUUUUUCUGUAAUGAAAGGAUACUUUAAUUCUCUAUCAACUCUAUGAAAUUACUCUUUCUGCCAAGAACACUUAGUUUUUAAUUCACUUUUCUGGCCAAUUCCAAGUGGCAAAGUGUCUGAAGUCCAUCCUUGUUUAUUCUUGAGUUACAUAUUUUGGAUCUGAAGCUCUAAUUCUUACUUAAGUAAA
rnacentral:lncRNA from 1 species